AGAACCAUGUAUCAUGUGGCUGCUAACCUCACUUCAAAAGCCAGGAUCGCUAGGAAUAGUAGCCAACGGAUUGGUAGCAGGUUGAAUUGUAACAGAAACUAUGCGGCUAAGGAUAUUAAAUUUGGAUUUGAAGCUCGUGCAAUGAUGCUUAAAGGUGUUGAAGAGCUUGCUAAUGCU